rnacentral:rRNA from 1 species
GCCAGCAGCUAGAUCUCUGCAACUCUCAUAUAGUCUCCAAGCAAUGCUGCGCCCAGUGAGUACCUGGAUGGGAGACCACAGGGGAAAGCUAGGUUGCUGCAGGAA